CCACCCCCUGACCACUCCACUCCACGAUCCCCAUUCUCACCUUAUCCCCACCUUCCCCGCCCCCCUCCACAGUCGCCACCAGCGCACCUCCCGCCAGGAUCGCAGGCGCCCCUCCCACCCACCCGACGCACCGCCGCCACAAGCCCGAACUGCGCCGGAGGCCCCGCGACCCCGCGUGCCGCUGCUCCCGGCAACCUUGCGACUCGCGGCCAUCCACCGGCCUCCUUCCGCAGACCCCCGCAGCAAACCGGCCCAACGCCUCCUCCCGCAACCCCGCCGCCCGCCCCCGCCCAAAUCCAGCUGGACUACCCACCGCAGCCGACACCUGCCCCAUCCCGGAGCCGCCCUCGGAUCCCCUCACGAUGCCGCCGCCUCCUGGAUCCCAAAGCUCUGCGACUCCGCCAUCAUCCUGCUAGCCUCACCGGCGCCGGCUGGAGUCCUGGAUCCCCACCGCAGGACCUGCAUGCAGACGCCGUGCUCUCCCACCGCCGCCAGCCGCCCGUGUUGUACCUCACCCUCGGUUCCUCCAUUCUAGCCAUGUGCGGCCGUUCAACAAACUGGCCAACACCUCACAGUCGGUUCCCGCGACCCAGGUAACCGCCGGAUUGGUCAAGUCCCAACCCCCCUGUGAGAAGCUCGACGACGGCCUCCCUCGAUCCAGCACCACGCCAAUCAGUCCAACCGCCGCUGUGGCUGCAGUCCAGCCUCUCCUAGUCCCCUCUGCUGCCUGGGAUCAUGCACCGAUUUUCUACCUCAAGGACUAGCCAGCCGUUCAACUACACUAUCUAGCGUCGUCCAAAAAACUCACCUGACGCUGCCCAGCACAUGACGCCCCCAAGGUCCUUCAAUAUUGGAAAACAUGAGUUUUCUUCUCCAAAAUGCAUCAACGCCGUGGAGUGCUAAUUUCUCUUGGGUGCUUCACCAACAUGACGGACCAGCUCGGCCUAUUUUGCACAAGAAAAUCACACAAAAGUUUUUAGGCGGAAUGCAAUUCAGAGAUAAUGGGGAAACAAGGUACAAAGAUAUAUUUUUUUAGUACAUUCGGAGAGCAUUUUUAGUGCACUGUAGCCAAAUCCGCUCUGAAGACCAAACUACUGACGUUUGGUUGUGCUUUUAUUUUACACAAACAAAGUUGCUAGCGCUAGUAGAUCUUGGGAUAUGGGCACACACUGAAGAAGACGAAAAAGAAAAUGGUGAGUUGGAGAUUGCAAGUGGUUUCUCAAAGGA